rnacentral:RNase_P_RNA from 1 species
GGAGAGAAGCUCAUCAGUGGGGCCGUGAGCUGAGUGUGUCACGUCACUCUAACACUUGUCCCCUGGGAAGGUCUGAGACUAGGCCCUGAUAGGGCCCUCCCGCAGCUCGGGGAAGUGAGUUCCCAGAGAACGGGCCUCCAGCCUCUCGCAAGGGCAGCCUGUGUCCCCUGGGACCCAGCCAUUGAUUUCCGGUUCACACACACAGGCCGUGAGGGAGGGGCUGAGUCUCACAAUGGAGACGUUACUGGUGCCCGCUCGAGCACAUCGAUGAGCAACAGGAUGACAGUGACAGUGACAGCUUCCACUCUAAAAGAGAAAUGCAGCUCGGGAAUGAUCACUCAAGCUUGACUUC